CUAUUUAUCGAGCUAACAAUAUUUGUAUUUGAUAAUAUUAUACUUAUCUAAUUCAGGUUUAGAUCACACAUCUGCAAAAAAGAUAGAAAUUAUGAACAUGAUCGCGCCGUGAUCUGUAACAACACCACCGGCACCACCUUGGGAGAGAAGGAGACGACAACUCUCGAAGGAAGCGGUGGGAACUCACCAGAUCUGUCGCUGUUGCAAACGUAAAAGCAAAGACGAGUCGUUGACACUUAAAUCGCUGAAUUUGCAGCCAUGUAGGUGAAGCUGCCGGGGCGAUUAUUCUCCAUCUCCAUCUUCGUAUCUGUGGGAAUUGAAGAUCUAUCAAAAUCACAGCAUAAAAAACCGUGGAUGCUUAAGUUUCUCUCUCUCUCAUAAAUAUU
rnacentral:lncRNA from 1 species